rnacentral:sRNA from 1 species
CCCUAGCCGCGAUAGGAACGGCAUCCUUUUUUUGUUGCAGCUGGAAAGUGGCAGGGAGAAAAAAGAUAUAGUGGAUAGCGCGAAAAAGC